rnacentral:tRNA from 1 species
GGGCUGGUAGCGUAAUGGAUAUCGCGUCUGACUUCGGCUCGCCUCCGUGUUGAACACGUACGGAAGGAGUGGUGAUCAGAAGGUUGCAGGUUCGAAUCCUGUCCAGCUCG